rnacentral:rRNA from 1 species
GAUUGAACGCUGGCGGCAGGCUUAACACAUGCAAGUCGAGCGGGGGAAGGUAGCUUGCUACUGGACCUAGCGGCGGACGGGUGAGUAAUGCUUAGGAAUCUGCCUAUUAGUGGGGGACAACAUCUCGAAAGGGAUGCUAAUACCGCAUACGUCCUACGGGAGAAAGCAGGGGAUCUUCGGACCUUGCGCUAAUAGAUGAGCCUAAGUCGGAUUAGCUAGUUGGUGGGGUAAAGGCCUACCAAGGCGACGAUCUGUAGCGGGUCUGAGAGGAUGAUCCGCCACACUGGGACUGAGACACGGCCCAGACUCCUACGGGAGGCAGCAGUGGGGAAUAUUGGACAAUGGGGGGAACCCUGAUCCAGCCAUGCCGCGUGUGUGAAGAAGGCCUUAUGGUUGUAAAGCACUUUAAGCGAGGAGGAGGCUACUUUAGUUAAUACCUAGAGAUAGUGGACGUUACUCGCAGAAUAAGCACCGGCUAACUCUGUGCCAGCAGCCGCGGUAAUACAGAGGGUGCGAGCGUUAAUCGGAUUUACUGGGCGUAAAGCGUGCGUAGGCGGCUUAUUAAGUCGGAUGUGAAAUCCCCGAGCUUAACUUGGGAAUUGCAUUCGAUACUGGUGAGCUAGAGUAUGGGAGAGGAUGGUAGAAUUCCAGGUGUAGCGGUGAAAUGCGUAGAGAUCUGGAGGAAUACCGAUGGCGAAGGCAGCCAUCUGGCCUAAUACUGACGCUGAGGUACGAAAGCAUGGGGAGCAAACAGGAUUAGAUACCCUGGUAGUCCAUGCCGUAAACGAUGUCUACUAGCCGUUGGGGCCUUUGAGGCUUUAGUGGCGCAGCUAACGCGAUAAGUAGACCGCCUGGGGAGUACGGUCGCAAGACUAAAACUCAAAUGAAUUGACGGGGGCCCGCACAAGCGGUGGAGCAUGUGGUUUAAUUCGAUGCAACGCGAAGAACCUUACCUGGCCUUGACAUACUAGAAACUUUCCAGAGAUGGAUUGGUGCCUUCGGGAAUCUAGAUACAGGUGCUGCAUGGCUGUCGUCAGCUCGUGUCGUGAGAUGUUGGGUUAAGUCCCGCAACGAGCGCAACCCUUUUCCUUACUUGCCAGCAUUUCGGAUGGGAACUUUAAGGAUACUGCCAGUGACAAACUGGAGGAAGGCGGGGACGACGUCAAGUCAUCAUGGCCCUUACGGCCAGGGCUACACACGUGCUACAAUGGUCGGUACAAAGGGUUGCUACACAGCGAUGUGAUGCUAAUCUCAAAAAGCCGAUCGUAGUCCGGAUUGGAGUCUGCAACUCGACUCCAUGAAGUCAGAAUCGCUAGUAAUCGCGGAUCAGAAUGCCGCGGUGAAUACGUUCCCGGGCCUUGUACACACCGCCCGUCACACCAUGGGAGUUUGUUGCACCAGAAGUAGCUAGCCUAACUGCAAAGAGGGCGGUUACCACGGUGUGGCCGAUGACGGGGG